ACAACAGAGAAGCAAUACAUACUUUAAAGAUACUACUUGAAAACAAGACUUUAUCACUCGUAACUCUAACAUAUACUAAAAAUACGUUCAAAUAAGGUGCGUCAUGAAACGAGAUAAGAGUGCAAGAUCGAUCAAUAUUUGUACAAUAUUUUGUACGUAGCAAUGUGUUCUUACGUCGCCAUCAGUUCAUCAACCUGUGAACAUGGAAAAUUCCCAAAUAAAUUUGUGAGUAAUAGAUGCACUCUGUGUCCACCAAAAUAUAAUGAAUCCGGAAAACAAGGAAACGAUGAGCAAGCCUGUCUUUAAUGGUGUCGCUCAUUUUUUGAAACCAUGUCGCUGCCCACGGCGACGAUCCGGACAACCACUGCCGCAAGCAAAGUGAAGAAUACACUAUACACCAAAAAAAGGUGGUUGUAUUAUUCGUGGUUUUAUCUUUAGUGUCGAUCAUUGUUCUUCCUGUGCUCGCGUAUUUAAAGAUAAAAAAUCGAAGAAACCUAAAAAUGAAAGCAGCAGCGAACGCACAACCCUCUGGCAGUGAUCUGCCUCUUACUGGACACGGUGACAACAUGCCUUCAGCAAGGUAUAGAACAGCAUACAACAAUAUAAAAAGAUGUUGGCGAGUCUAUUUCACCUCAUUUAAUGCUGCAUAAGUGCAUGUUUAAUCAAGUUUUCUUUAACACCAACUUCAUAUUACUUUUAAGUGUACUACUCUUUAGAGACUGUCUCAGACUGGAAUAGCUUAAUUUACAUAUUUUGUAUGAGAGAAUAAGAAGGAAAAAAGUUGAUAUCAUUUCUAUGAUAGUA